rnacentral:rRNA from 1 species
UACGUAGGGCGCAAGCGUUAUCCGGAAUUAUUGGGCGUAAAGAGCUCGUAGGCGGUUUGUCGCGUCUGCCGUGAAAGUCCGGGGCUCAACUCCGGAUCUGCGGUGGGUACGGGCAGACUAGAGUAUGUAGGGGAGACUGGAAUUCCUGGUGUAGCGGUGAAAUGCGCAGAUAUCAGGAGGAACACCGAUGGCGAAGGCAGGUCUCUGGGCAUUAACUGACGCUGAGGAGCGAAAGCAUGGGGAGCGAACAGG